GCCUUCGUGGUGAAGUGGUCAGUAUGUUCGGCGCGUAUUCGAGAGGUCCGUGGUUCGAGUCCAAGCGAGAGCA
rnacentral:tRNA from 1 species